rnacentral:rRNA from 1 species
CCUACGGGUGGCAGCAGUGAGGAAUAUUGGUCAAUGGACGAGAGUCUGAACCAGCCAAGUAGCGUGAAGGAUGCCUGCCCUAUGGGUUGUAAACUUCUUUUAUAUGGGAAUAAAAUGUUCCACGUGUGGGAUUUUGUAUGUACCAUAUGAAUAAGGAUCGGCUAACUCCGUGCCAGCAGCCGCGGUAAUACGGAGGAUCCGAGCGUUAUCCGGAUUUAUUGGGUUUAAAGGGAGCGUAGGUGGAUUGUUAAGUCAGUUGUGAAAGUUUGCGGCUCAACCGUAAAAUUGCAGUUGAAACUGGCAGUCUUGAGUACAGUAGAGGUGGGCGGAAUUCGUGGUGUAGCGGUGAAAUGCUUAGAUAUCACGAAGAACUCUGAUUGCGAAGGCAGUUCACUGGACUGCAACUGACACUGAGGCUCGAAAGUGUGGGUAUCAAACAGGAUUAGAUACCCGUGUAGUC